UGGAGCGUAAACACAGAGGCACUGAAGUC
rnacentral:piRNA from 1 species